UACGGGGGGAGCAAGCGUUGUUCGGAUUUACUGGGCGUAAAGGGCGCGUAGGCGGCCUCCGCAAGUCGACUGUGAAAUCUCCGGGCUUAACCCGGAACGGUCAGCCGAUACUGCGGGGCUAGGGUGCAGAAGGGGCAACUGGAAUUCUCGGUGUAGCGGUGAAAUGCGUAGAGAUGUGGAGGAACACCAGUGGCGAAGGCGGCUUUUUGGUCUGUAACUGACGCUGAGGCGCGAAAGCGUGGGGAGCGAACAGG
rnacentral:rRNA from 1 species